rnacentral:rRNA from 1 species
AUUGGACGCUGGCGGCAUGCUUUACACAUGCAAGUCGAACGGCAGCGCGGGCUUCGGCCUGGCGGCGAGUGGCGAACGGGUGGGUAAUACAUCGGAACGUGCCCAGUAGUGGGGGAUAGCUCGGCGAAAGCCGGAUUAAUACCGCAUACGACCUGAGGGUGAAAGCGGGGGAUCUUCGGACCUCGCGCUAUUGGAGCGGCCGAUGGCAGAUUAGCUAGUUGGUGGGGUAAAGGCCUACCAAGGCGACGAUCUGUAGCUGGUCUGAGAGGACGACCAGCCACACUGGGACUGAGACACGGCCCAGACUCCUACGGGAGGCAGCAGUGGGGAAUUUUGGACAAUGGGCGAAAGCCUGAUCCAGCAAUGCCGCGUGUGUGAUGAAGGCCUUCGGGUUGUAAAGCACUUUUGGCGGGAACGAAAAGGACUGUGCCAAUACCACGGUUCGAUGACGGUACCCGCAGAAUAAGCACCGGCUAACUACGUG